UCAGGAUUAACGCUGGCGGCAUGCCUAAUACAUGCAAGUCGAAUGGGGAGCUUGCUUCCCAUGGCGAACGGGUGAGUAAUACGUAGGUAACCUACCUUUAGGACGAGGAUAAACCUUUGGAAACGAAGGAUAAUACUGGAUAGUAUAGAUUUCCGCAUGGAGAUAUAUUUUAAAGAUUUAAUCACCUAGAGAGGGGCCUGCGGUGCAUUAGCUAGUUGGCGGGAUAAAGCCCACCAAGGCGAUGAUGCAUAGCCGGACUGAGAGGUUGUACGGCCACAAUGGAACUGAGAACGGUCCAUACUCCUACGGGAGGCAGCAGUAGGGAAUUUUCGGCAAUGGGCGGAAGCCUGACCGAGCCAAUGCCGCGUGAAUGAUGAAGUAUUUCGGUAUGUAAAGUUCUUUUAUCUAGGAAGAAAAAACAAAUUGACGGUACUAGAUGAAUAAGCUCCGGCUAACUACGUGCCAGCCGCCGC
rnacentral:rRNA from 1 species